rnacentral:rRNA from 1 species
AGCGAACGCUGGCGGCAGGCCUAACACAUGCAAGUCGAACGGACCCUUCGGGGUUAGUGGCGGACGGGUGAGUAACACGUGGGAACGUGCCUUUAGGUUCGGAAUAGCUCCUGGAAACGGGUGGUAAUGCCGAAUGUGCCCUUCGGGGGAAAGAUUUAUCGCCUUUAGAGCGGCCCGCGUCUGAUUAGCUAGUUGGUGAGGUAGCGGCUCACCAAGGCGACGAUCAGUAGCUGGUCUGAGAGGAUGACCAGCCACACUGGGACUGAGACACGGCCCAGACUCCUACGGGAGGCAGCAGUGGGGAAUCUUGCGCAAUGGGCGAAAGCCUGACGCAGCCAUGCCGCGUGAAUGAUGAAGGUCUUAGGAUUGUAAAAUUCUUUCACCGGGGACGAUAAUGACGGUACCCGGAGAAGAAGCCCCGGCUAACUUCGUG